rnacentral:rRNA from 1 species
GAUGAACGCUGGCGGCGUGCCUAAUACAUGCAAGUCGAGCGAACGGACGAGAAGCUUGCUUCUCUGAUGUUAGCGGCGGACGGGUGAGUAACACGUGGAUAACCUACCUAUAAGACUGGGAUAACUUCGGGAAACCGGAGCUAAUACCGGAUAAUAUUUUGAUCUGCAUGGUUCAAAAGUAAAAGACGGUCUUGCUGUCACUUAUAGAUGGAUCCGCGCUGCAUUAGCUAGUUGGUAAGGUAACGGCUUACCAAGGCAACGAUGCAUAGCCGACCUGAGAGGGUGAUCGGCCACACUGGAACUGAGACACGGUCCAGACUCCUACGGGAGGCAGCAGUAGGGAAUCUUCCGCAAUGGGCGAAAGCCUGACGGAGCAACGCCGCGUGAGUGAUGAAGGUCUUCGGAUCGUAAAACUCUGUUAUUAGGGAAGAACAUAUGUGUAAGUAACUGUGCACAUCUUGACGGUACCUAAUCAGAGAGCCACGGCUAACUACGUGCCAGCAGCCGCGGUAAUACGUAGGUGGCAAGCGUUAUCCGGAAUUAUUGGGCGUAAAGCGCGCGUAGGCGGUUUUUUAAGUCUGAUGUGAAAGCCCACGGCUCAACCGUGGAGGGUCAUUGGAAACUGGAAAACUUGAGUGCAGAAGAGGAAAGUGGAAUUCCAUGUGUAGCGGUGAAAUGCGCAGAGAUAUGGAGGAACACCAGUGGCGAAGGCGACUUUCUGGUCUGUAACUGACGCUGAUGUGCGAAAGCGUGGGGAUCAAACAGGAUUAGAUACCCUGGUAGUCCACGCUGUAAACGAUGAGUGCUAAGUGUUAGGGGGUUUCCGCCCCUUAGUGCUGCAGCUAACGCAUUAAGCACUCCGCCUGGGGAGUACGACCGCAAGGUUGAAACUCAAAGGAAUUGACGGGGACCCGCACAAGCGGUGGAGCAUGUGGUUUAAUUCGAAGCAACGCGAAGAACCUUACCAAAUCUUGACAUCCUUUGACAACUCUAGAGAUAGAGCCUUCCCCUUCGGGGGACAAAGUGACAGGUGGUGCAUGGUUGUCGUCAGCUCGUGUCGUGAGAUGUUGGGUUAAGUCCCGCAACGAGCGCAACCCUUAAGCUUAGUUGCCAUCAUUAAGUUGGGCACUCUAAGUUGACUGCCGGUGACAAACCGGAGGAAGGUGGGGAUGACGUCAAAUCAUCAUGCCCCUUAUGAUUUGGGCUACACACGUGCUACAAUGGACAAUACAAAGGGCAGCGAAACCGCGAGGUCAAGCAAAUCCCAUAAAGUUGUUCUCAGUUCGGAUUGUAGUCUGCAACUCGACUACAUGAAGCUGGAAUCGCUAGUAAUCGUAGAUCAGCAUGCUACGGUGAAUACGUUCCCGGGUCU